UUUCAAUAAGGGUGGUAUCCACAGCACUGC
rnacentral:piRNA from 1 species